AGUAGAGUGGCGGACGGGUGAGUAACGCGUAGGAACCUACCUGGUAGCGGGGGGACAACCUGGUGAAAACCAGGCUAAUACCGCAUACGCCCUACGGGGGAAAGCAGGGGAUCUUCGGACCUUGCACUAUCAGAUGGGCCUGCGUCGGAUUAGCUAGUUGGUGAGGUAAUGGCUCACCAAGGCGACGAUCCGUAGCUGGUUUGAGAGAAUGAUCAGCCACACUGGGACUGAGACACGGCCCAG
rnacentral:rRNA from 1 species